rnacentral:rRNA from 1 species
AUACGGAGGGUGCAAGCGUUACUCGGAAUCACUGGGCGUAAAGCGCGCGCAGGCGGCCCGAUAAGUUGGAUGUGAAAGCCUACGGCUCAACCGUAGAACUGCAUCCAAAACUGUCGGGCUAGAAUCUGGGAGGGGAAGAUGGAAUUAGUUGUGUAGGGGUAAAAUACGUAGAGAUAACUAGGAAUACCAAAAGCGAAGGCGAUCUUCUGGAACAGUACUGACGCUGAGGCGCGAAAGCGUGGGGAGCAAACAGGAUUAGAAACACUAGUAGUCC